rnacentral:rRNA from 1 species
UGGGGAAUUUUGGACAAUGGGGGCAACCCUGAUCCAGCCAUGCCGCGUGUGUGAAGAAGGCCUUCGGGUUGUAAAGCACUUUCGGACGGAACGAAAUCGCGCGGGUGAAUAUCCCGCGUGGAUGACGGUACCGUAAGAAGAAGCACCGGCUAACUACGUGCCAGCAGCCGCGGUAAUACGUAGGGUGCGAGCGUUAAUCGGAAUUACUGGGCGUAAAGUGUGCGCAGGCGGCGUCGCAAGUCGAGUGUGAAAGCCCCGGGCUUAACUUGGGAAUUGCGCUCGAAACUACGAUGCUGGAGUGUGGCAGAGGAAGGUGGAAUUCCACGUGUAGCGGUGAAAUGCGUAGAGAUGUGGAGGAACACCAAUGGCGAAGGCAGCCUUCUGGGCCAACACUGACGCUCAUGCACGAAAGCGUGGGGAGCAAACAGG